AACCUUUUUUUUUAAUUUAUAAUGUAUUUUCCAUGGUAUAAUGGUCAUUACCAAGGCUUUUUGAAUACAGUUUCUUAUUUGCUGUGGACAUGACCAUAAAAUAAUUCCCUCUAGGUUUUCUAUCUGCUACUUUGCUAGCAUUCAACCCAUUGGGAACAUUCAAUAUACUUUUUUUUUGUCUAUGUUGCCUAGACUUUUAAAACAUUCAGAUUCUCACACACACUGUUUACACCAGUUUGGUGAUAUGGCUCCAGAACUCAUUCUUGAUUGCUCUAAUUCUCUAUAUCCUUAUUAUAUUAUAGGGCUCUUGAAACAAACAGAUAAGCAUCAGAUCGUCUAAAAAGGGUAUUCUUGGAAUGGACAACAAAGGAAUCACAAUGGAAAUUCCUUAAAUAAAAAUUUAUUGACUUAAAAUUACACACUUUUAAAAGAAAAACACCAUUCUAAAGAAGAGUCAGCCUGUAUUUUUGGCUCGAAGUUUCUCUAGUGUUUUCUGUGGAGAGAAUAAAUAAAAAAUAAGCAGCAGCAGUUCCUAUUGUGAUAUGCGCUAAAUGUAAGAAGGGAGGAGGCUUGUUUACCUUAUGAAAUUCUUUUGCCCUUUCUCUGUUCUGGGCAUAAGCUUCUUGUUUUGCUUUCUCUACCUUUUGUUGUUUCACUUCAGCUAAUUGAUUAUAUAGUCUGAAAGUAAUUUAAUUUAUAUGGAAUUAAAUACAAUAUUGAAGAAGAAUGAGCUACUAAAAAUAAAGCAAAAAAAAAAAAGCUA